GGGAAAGUUGAAGUCUGGGGAAAAAAGAGAGAAUUCAGCAGAAGUCUGCAUCUCUACAAAGCUCCUAAGCUGAAAGUAUAUACCUUCCCAGGCAGGAAGAAAUUCUGUUGCAAAGUGCAUGGACUGAAAUCUGAUUUGUGGGAAGACAUUAUAAUGAGACACUAAUGAGGGC
rnacentral:lncRNA from 1 species